UACGAAGGGGGCGAGCGUUGUUCGGAAUUACUGGGCGUAAAGGGCGCGUAGGCGGCCCCUUUUGUCGCGUGUGAAAGCCCCGGGCUCAGCCCGGGAAGUGCGCUCGAAACUGCGCGGCUCGAGUGCCGGAGGGGAGAGUGGAAUUCCUGGUGUAGCGGUGAAAUGCGCAGAUAUCAGGAGGAACACCAAUGGCGAAGGCAGCUCGCUGGAACGGUACUGACGCUGAGGCGCGAAAGCGUGGGGAGCGAACAGG
rnacentral:rRNA from 1 species